UACGGGGGGGGCAAGCGUUGUUCGGAAUUACUGGGCGUAAAGGGCUCGUAGGCGGCCAACUAAGUCGGACGUGAAACCCCUCGGCUUAACCGGGGAACUGCGUCCGAUACUGGAUGGCUUGAGUUCGGGAGAGGGAUGCGGAAUUCCAGGUGUAGCGGGUGAAAUGCGUGAGAUAUCUGGAGGAACACCGGUGGCGAAGGCGGCAUCCUGGACCGACACUGACGCUGAGGAGCGAAAGCCAGGGGAGCCAA
rnacentral:rRNA from 1 species